rnacentral:lncRNA from 1 species
AUGGGCUGCUCCGGCAGCAAAAUGUGCCUGUAUCCUCCAUGUGCGGCAACAAGGCGAGAGGAAGCACUGAAACAAAACAAAACCCUAUCUCAAGAACUUGUCAACCUCCGGGGAGAGCUAGUCACUGUUUCAACCACCUGUGAGAAGUUAGAAAAAGCCAGGAAUGAGUUGCAAAUAGCUUAUGAAGGAUUUGUCCAGAAGUUAAACCAGCAGCACCAGACUGAUCUAACAGAGCUGGAGAAUCGGCUUAAAGAAUUUUACACUGGGGAAUGUGAAAAGCUUCAGAACAUCUACAUAGAAGAAGCAGAGAAAUACAAAACUCAAUUGCAGGAGCAGUUUGACAACUUAAAUGCUACCCACGAAACCUCUAAGUUGAAAAUCGAAGCAAGCCACUCCGAGAAAAUAGAAUUGCUAAAGAAGUCCUAUGAAAAUUCCCUUUCAGAAAUCAAGAAAAGCCAUGAAAUGGAAAAGAAAUCCCUCGAGGAUCUGCUUUACGAGAAGCAGGAAUCACUAGAGAAACAAAUCAGUGAUCUGAAGAGUGAAAAUGAUGCUUUAAAUGAAAAGUUGAAAUCAGAAGAACAGAAAAGAGUAUCAAGAGAGAAAGCAAAUUUAAAAAACCCUCAGAUCAUGUAUCUGGAGCAAGAGUUAGAAAGCCUGAAAGCCGUGUUAGAGAUCAAGAAUGAGAAGCUGCGCCAACAGGACGUCAAGUUAAUGAAGAUGGAGAAACUGGUGGACAAUAACACAGCGCUGGUAGACAAACUGAAGCGAUUCCAGCAGGAGAAUGAAGAACUAAAAGCUCGGAUGGACAAGCACAUGGCAAUUUCAAGGCAACUUUCCACGGAGCAAGCGGUCCUGCAGGAGUCGCUGGAGAAGGAGUCCAAGGUCAACAAGCGCCUCUCCAUGGAGAACGAGGAGCUGCUCUGGAAGCUCCACAAUGGGAACCUGUGCAGCCCCAAGAGGUCCCCCACGUCCCCCGCCGCCCCCUUCCAGUCGCCUCGGAACUCCGGCUCCUUCCCCAGCCCCAGUGUCUCACCCAGA